rnacentral:lncRNA from 1 species
CCUCUUCUUCUUCUUCUUCUUCUUCUCCUUCUUCUUCUCCUCCUUCUUCUUCUUCGCCUUCUUCUUCUUCUUCUUCUUCUUCUUCUUCUUCUCCUUCUCCUUCUUCUCCUCUUUCUUCUCCUCUUUCUUCUUCUCCUUAGCUUAUUUUCCCCAAGAAAGAAAUACUUUGGUAAUUAUCCUUCAAAAUGACAUAAUUAGCUAAUUUAGUUCAUUUAUG